GGGGAAUAUUGCGCAAUGGGGGGAACCCUGACGCAGCAACGCCGCGUGAGUGAAGAAGGCCUUCGGGUCGUAAAGCUCUGUCUUCAGGGACGAAAAAAGACGGUACCUGAGGAGGAAGCCACGGCUAACUACGUGCCAGCAGCCGCGGUAAUACGUAGGUGGCGAGCGUUGUCCGGAAUUACUGGGCGUAAAGGGUGCGUAGGCGGUGUUCCAAGUCAGAUGUGAAAACCCAAGGCUUAACCAUGGGAUUGCAUUUGAAACUGGGAUGCUGGAGUGCAGGAGAGGGAAGCGGAAUUCCUAGUGUAGCGGUGAAAUGCGUAGAUAUUAGGAAGAACACCAGUGGCGAAGGCGGCUUCCUGGACUGUAACUGACGCUGAGGCACGAAAGCGUGGGGAGCAAAC
rnacentral:rRNA from 1 species